CUGGGCGUAAAGCGUGCGCAGGCGGAUUGUUAAGCAAGACGUGAAAGCCCCGGGCUUAACCUGGGAAUGGCGUUUUGAACUGGCAGUCUAGAGUGCGUCAGAGGGGGGUGGAAUUCCACGUGUAGCAGUGAAAUGCGUAGAGAUGUGGAGGAACACCAAUGGCGAAGGCAGCCCCCUGGGAUGACACUGACGCUCAUGUACGAAAGCGUGGGUAGCAAACAGGAUUAGAUACCCUGGUAGUCCACGCCCUAAACGAUGUCGACUGGUUGUUGGGGGAGUGAAAUCCCUUAGUAACGAAGCUAACGCGUGAAGUUGACCGCCUGGGGAGUACGGUCGCAAGAUUAAAACUCAAAGGAAUUGACGGGGACCCGCACAAGCGGUGGAUGAUGUGGAUUAAUUCGAUGCAACGCGAAAAACCUUACCUACCCUUGACAUGUCCAGGAUCCUGCAGAGAUGCGGGAGUGCCCGAAAGGGAAUUGGAACACAGGUGUUGCAUGGCUGUCGUCAGCUCGUGUCGUGAGAUGUUGGGUUAAGUCCCGCAACGAGCGCAACCCUUAUCAUUAGUUGCUACGCAAGGGCACUCUAAUGAGACUGCCGGUGACAAACCGGAGGAAGGUGGGGAUGACGUCAAGUCCUCAUGGCCCUUAUGGAUAGGGCUUCACACGUCAUACAAUGGUCGGUACAGAGGGUUGCCAAGCCGCGAGGUGGAGCCAAUCCCAGAAAGCCGAUCGUAGUCCGGAUUGUUCUCUGCAACUCGAGAGCAUG
rnacentral:rRNA from 1 species